AGUGGAGGGGCUCCAGAUGCCGACAUACUUCCCUGCCCUCCAUCAGUGCUCUCUGAGCACCCAGCCACUUGAGCUGCCAGGGGGACACACAUGCCCUAGAGAGGCCUGCUGAGGCUCCAGGCAGGUGGAGCGCAGACCAGCAGCUGCAGCCUGGGCCGUGGUCGUGAGGUGCAGCAACGUGUCUGAAAGCAGGCCGCCCACAGGAUGUUGGAAACCGCAGGGGCCUGGUGGGUACCUGUCAUAUGAAAGAGGCCAGGAGGCCUCCCUCCACAGCUCAGGGGGAUGGACUCAGAGCAUAGGAGGGAGCAGCCUUCUCUGAGGGACCUGGGGAGUUUCCCAACAACUUUGCUCCCUGCUGGGCAGCAAUGUCCAUGGCUGCACAGGGCUGGUCCCGGGCUCCCUCUGCCAGCUCCUCUGUGGGAGCUGGGGGGCCUUUCUCCUGACUCUCCUGGGGGUGUUUCUAUGUGAGGUGGGGUCUCCCAUGGCUGUCCCCUCUGAGGCUUUCUGUCCCCCAGAGCUGUGGUCAGCCAGGCAGGCUGUGGCCUCCACCCCUCCCAGCUCAGCAACAACCUGAGGUUUCCUGUCUGCAGGGGUGGGGGCCUUUCUGGGGUUGUGCAGGCCCCUUGCCUGGGCCCUGCUCGAGCUGGUCUCUGGUUCUCCUUUGACUGCCUUGAGUGGCCAUGCCCAGGCUGUGGCUGGGCCCCAGGACAUGGGACGGCCCGGGAGGUCUCGACGCGUCAUGGCGAAGUGUGCGUGUCACUGGUUUUUACCACGGGUGAGCACUCUGCUGUCCCGGGGCUCCCUCACACGGCAAGGCUCGGCUUCUAGAAGCAGCACCUGUGUCCACGGGUACACGAGGCCCACUGUAGGCCCCGGAGAGGGCAGCUCUUUGGCACCCUUUUCAACAAUUAGCCAAGUAAAGUCUGAAUUUUAUGGAAGAGAUCCGCCUGAACUACAGGCCUGGCCAGGCCCACUGCUGGCCCCUGCUGGCCUCUCGGGGGCGCUCUGGGCACCCCCCACCUGGCCAGCAGCCCCCAGGCCUGGCCUCUGCAGCCCUCCCCUGGCCUUGGGCUUUUACCUAUUUUAAGCCCUCCCCUGGCACCUGCCUGGAGUUGGUCACGGUCUGGGAGUCAGACAUUCUGAGAAGUGAAGGCUUCUGGGCCCGUCGGGGGAGUGUGCUCACGGCUGCAGGUCCCAGGCCAGUGUCCACCCUGUCGGAGUCCACAGCCUCCACCCGGAGCCAGUGAAGCAGCUUCUCCUUCCGGGCCGCGGCGCUGGUGAAGGUGAUGCAGUGGGCGUCUAGGAAGUCCAGCAGUUUCCCCAUGGCCACGCGGAUGCCAUGCUGCCUCAGCUCAGCCUGCAGCUCCGCCAGCUCAAAGGGCUGGUACAGCAGGACCUUGCGGUAGAGCGCCGGCGUGGUGCGGAUGUGACGCCACACAGCCUCCUCGGUGGCUGCUGCCUGGACGGCUGCCUGGGGCGCACCGGCCGCCGCCUCCUCGCCUUCCCCGUCUCCUGCACACUCAAAGGCUCCUCCAAACUCACCGGAAAAACUGAAAAGAAGUAGACAAGGACACCCUGUGACGUCCCUUCCCUCCAGCCCCCAAGCCCAGGAGCCUCUUUGAGGGAAGGAGUACAUUUCUGUGCCCUUGCGGUGCCCAGCAUGUGGUAGGCAUGACCCCCAGGAAGGCAGAAGCUCCAGGACGGUGUGUGCCCGGCAUUCCGGCCGCCGGCCUGAGCACCCUGCCUCACCCAGAAUACACCACCAGCGGCCAGUCCCACGCGGGGAGCAUCCUGUGCGGCGAGUACACAGGAGCUCCAGAAGUCAGCUCAGGAGGUCAAGGGGACUGUCCCUUCACCCAGCCUGGGUUUCCUGUAGUCCAAACCCAGAAGGCGACUGGGACUUCUGAACAAUGGCCAUUGGGCCUCACUCACGCCAACUCUUGGACCCACUGGUUAGGGGGCCCACGAAACCACUGGCCGUCCUCCCACUCCAGUUACCUUUGUGAGCUAAAGGAGCUGUCACUGCUGUCCAGAGAGGAGGCCGUGGACUCCUGGGAGGCCGUGAGCUCGGUGUCACCAUCAGGGCCUGGACAUACCACCUCGGCUGGUGACAUGCCCAGCAAGGGUGUGCUUCCACCAGGCCGCUGCUUUCGAUGUAGGGGGCCCUUGGUCUUAGCAGGUCCCUUGGAUCUCUGGGGAACGGGAUCAGAAGUGGCCUCCAGCUGGACAUGGCCAGCUGUCCCUGAAGCCUCGGAGGUCUUGGUGGUGUGGCUCUGGCUGCGAGGAGUCCUCAGGGGCACCUCAUCCUCGGAGUCUGACCCCAGCGUCUGAUCUGCCUGUGCUGAACAUUUCAUGCAAAUGGAACCCUGUAACAUGUGACCUUCUAUGACUGGCUUCUCUCACUGAGUAUAAUGUUUUCAAGGUCCAUGCAUGUUGUAGCAUGAAGAACCUCUGGAGGCUUCUGUUCUUCUGCGUCCCAGUCGUCCCACAGCGCUGAAUUCAGAAAGCUUGGCCUGCUGCCUCCAGGGGAACUGGCCCAAGGGGAUUUCUCUUGAGACCUUCUUUGUCCAG